rnacentral:rRNA from 1 species
AGAUUGAACGCUGGCGGCAUGCCUAACACAUGCAAGUCGAACGCUUUGAGGGUUUCGGCCUUCAAGGAGUGGCGCACGGGUGAGUAGCGCGUGGGAACCUGCCCUUGAGUGGGGGAUAACCUCGGGAAACCGAGGCUAAUACCGCAUAAUAUCGAAAGAUCAAAGGAGUAAUCCGCUUUUGGAGGGGGUCGCGGCUGAUUAGCUAGUUGGUAGGGUAAUGGCCUACCAAGGCGAAGAUCGGUA